GAAUGAGUGUGUAUGGAUGUUUCCCUGUACUGGGUUGCAACUGGAAGGGUAUCUGCUCCGUAAAACAUAUGCUCGAUACGUUAGCGGUUUAUUCCGCUGUGGUGUUCCCAGAUGAUUAAAGAAACUAAACCGAAGGAAAAUUAAUAAAUUAAUAAUUAAAUUAGCAUUUUUGUUAGGUUACCUGCAGUUCCUGAUUUUCCAUUGCGGCCAGGGAUGCUAGGAUCCCUGUCCAUUACUUCCUCUGGGGUUUCUGAUUGGCUGCUGUAUCCACGGCCUCCACCUCCAGCAGCAAUCAGUAGUGGAAUGUGGACUCCAUUCACCACCUGCAGUGAACAGGAAUAACUUCUUAUUGUCAAUGAACAAAAUUGUCACCUUGAAGACGUAGGUGCCUCCCCCUCCACCACCACCACCUCCCUUGAGCUGGGUUUUAUUGAUAGAGGGCCCUUGCUGUUCUCUGCAGAUGCGGUCCAUAGUAGGUACCAUCUAUGACAGGGCAAGCAUCCUCUCCUUCCUGUCCCACAAGAAUAUAGAGCAACUCGUCCUUCUGUAACAGGAAGUCUCCGGUCAUGUACACCCCAUGUGACUUGUGAACCGCCAGAACACUGCGUCCACCAGCUGCUCCAUAUGCCGUGAUCCUAAACCCAUGACAAAGAAGGUGGAGUGCAGCUUCAAACCACACACAGGCAUCCAGGAAGAGUGACACAGGUGUGCAAUUAAGGAAAGCACACCGCGUGUGCUGUGAUGUGGAGGUUUGUGAGUACUCCAAAGGAGCAUGGAUAACCAUUCUAUGGGGUUCGUGAUGCAAUGGAACUAUCUUGACGCUUUGAUUGGUGGAAACGGCUGAGUCAUCGGAAAGCUGGGCAGUUGCACGCGGUGCAUCAUGAG
rnacentral:lncRNA from 1 species